GAAUCUUUCUGCCAGUGUGUUAAAGUUAUUCUGAUAUUGACUGUAGUUCUGAGCUUUGUCUCUAUCCCACCAAACCACUAACUUCUGGAAAUUACUUGUAGACCAAGAUGGGAGGACUCCGUGUGUGGCUCCGUGAAUAUGAAUGACUUAUCGUGCCUGUCCAGAGUCAGGGAAAGGAGAAACAAUCUUAUUUGAGAAGGGAGGAUAUCACUGCAGUGGUUGUGAAAUCGUGUUUGGAAGCUAGAUUGCUCUAGACCACUAAGGUCUGUGUCUCCUCUUGGUCUUCACAGCUCUCUUCAUGUGACAAAGAAACUUCCUAAAAUACUAAAAGCUAAAGGAGAUUGUUAUCUAAGCUUGAGAUGGAAGGUUGCCAGCGGAAACUUGGAGGAUCACAGCCAGUCGCCUGGGAUUGACCACAGGGAGUGGCAGAGGCAGAAAGCAAAAGACCAGUUGCAAUUAUCCAGGUAAAAGAUGGAGGCUGUUGCAAUAAUCCAGAAUCCUGAAUUGAGCCUGUGUUCCCAGUUCCUAGAAACCCUCAAGGUUAUUGGUUUCCUCCUCGCUUAAUAGACCAGUGGAAGAAAUCUACCUCCAGUUCUAUCUUCACAUGAGCAACUGUUUACAGUUUACAAUAUUACUCUGAAAAUCAGUUCUUUUCAAGUUUUAUCUAACACCCACCAGAAGAAACAGAAGAUUAUGAAAAUGGAAUUUGUCAAAGUUCCUCUCCCAACAAUAUGAUAUUUAAUUUUGCUAACAUUUUUUUUUGAACACUUACUAUAUUGCAGACAAUGGUCUAAGUAAAGCAUUUUAUGUGCAUCCUAUCAUGUCAUCAUCACACAGCCCUGUGAGGUAGAUACUAUUAUUAUUAACCACAUUUCACAUUCAAAAAAACUGAGGCUUAGAGAGACUAAGUAAAUUGUCCAAGGUCACACAGCCAUGAAGUGGCAGAGCUGUGGUUAAAACCUAUGUCUGUCUGAUGUUUAAGAUUUUGCUGUUAGCAUUACUUUGAAAUGACAAUAUGAGGGCAUUUUAUGUAUUUUUUUUGCCCCAAUAUGAUCUGCAGAAACUAUGUAUUUUAAGUACUACAUUUCUUUUAUUUACCAAAUUAUUGUCAGAUAAGAAACCGAAAUAAAAGUUUACAGGGUCUAGGAUUCCUCCAUAAUGAAUGAACUUUGGGGUAUUUCAGUGACAAAUUGGCUUUAACGCGAUCAAAUUCCAUCCUACAAUGAAAGUGUGUUAGUUUGUGGUUUCAAGUUUAAAAACAGCACUGUAUUGUCUUCCAGAAAUAUAUAAAUAGAAAUUCAAGAAGUAUUUCAAUGAAUACAGAUAAAAUUAGUUUUGUUAGAACAUCAAA
rnacentral:lncRNA from 1 species